rnacentral:rRNA from 1 species
GACCUGAUGCAGCCAUGCCGCGUGUGUGAAGAAGGCCUUCGGGUUGUAAAGCACUUUCAGUUGUGAGGAAAAGUUAGUAGUUAAUACCUGCUAGCCGUGACGUUAACAACAGAAGAAGCACCGGCUAACUCCGUGCCAGCAGCCGCGGUAAUACGGAGGGUGCGAGCGUUAAUCGGAAUUACUGGGCGUAAAGCGCACGCAGGCGGUUUGUUAAGCUAGAUGUGAAAGCCCCGGGCUCAACCUGGGAUGGUCAUUUAGAACUGGCAGACUAGAGUCUUGGAGAGGGGAGUGGAAUUCCAGGUGUAGCGGUGAAAUGCGUAGAUAUCUGGAGGAACAUCAGUGGCGAAGGCGACUCCCUGGCCAAAGACUGACGCUCAUGUGCGAAAGUGUGGGUAGCGAACAGGAUUAGAUACCCUGGUAGUCCACACCGUAAACGCUGUCUACUAGCUGUGUGUGCCUUUAAGGCGUGCGUAGCGAAGCUAACGCGCUAAGUAGACCGCCUGGGGAGUACGGCCGCAAGGUUAAAACUCAAA